GACGAACGCUGGCGGCGUGCUUAACACAUGCAAGUCGAGCGGUAAGGCCCUUUCGGGGGUACACGAGCGGCGAACGGGCGAGUAACACGUGGGUGACCUGCCCUCAGCUCUGGGAUAAGCCUGGGAAACCGGGUCUAAUACUGGAUAUGACUCCAUGACGCAUGUUGUGGGGUGGAAAGCCUUGUGCGGCUGAGGAUGGGCCCGCGGCCUAUCAGCUUGUUGGUGGGGUGAUGGCCUACCAAGGCGACGACGGGUAGCCGGCCUGAGAGGGCGACCGGCCACACUGGGACUGAGACACGGCCCAGACUCCUACGGGAGGCAGCAGUGGGGAAUCUUGCGCAAUGGGCGAAAGCCUGACGCAGCGACGCCG
rnacentral:rRNA from 1 species